rnacentral:rRNA from 1 species
UACGUAGGAUCCAAGCGUUGUCCGGAUUUACUGGGUGUAAAGGGUGCGCAGGCGGGCUCAUAAGUCAGUAGUGAAAUCUCGGCGCUCAACGCCGAAACGUCUUUUGAUACUAUGAGCCUUGAAUAAGCGAGAGAUCCGUGGAAUUCCGAGUGUAGCAGUGAAAUGCGUAGAUAUCAGGAGGAAUACCGAUGGCGAAGGCAGGUCUCUGGGCUAUAACUGACGCUCAU